UCGGAUGGUUACGUCAGCGGGUUCCUCCGGGGUGACGUCAGGCCGGGCCUGACUGAUUGCCACAUGUGUGCAGCUCUGAGUGGGUCACGGAAGAGGGAUUCCCAAGAGUGGAACAACAAAAAGAGAACACAAGAAUACAAUAGGUGCUGAUUUAUUCUGUUGGAGCCAGGAGGAAUACAUGUAUGCUGUUAUGCUCAGAUAUGCGGUGCUGCAUUGAAGGUGUUUGGACAAAUGCUUGAGUUGCAGCGUGGCAGAAAAUUACAGCCUCUUCACUGUCACCCAUGACCAUCAUAAUUCAAUAAAGCACAUGACUCAAAUCAUUUUUCUGACACA